ensembl:snRNA U6 U6 spliceosomal RNA
AGACCAGAGUGAUCUCUUUGGCAGCACAUAUACGAUACAAAGAACAUUAGCAUGGCCCCUGCACAAGGAUGACAUGCAAGUGCUCCAUAUUUAA